AAAUACUUAGCGGUAUUUAGUCUGUCUUUACGUUCUGAGUUCAAAUUCCGCCGAGGUCAACUUUGUCUUUCAUCCUUUCAGGGUCGAUAAAUUAAGUACCAGUAAAACACUGGAGGCCAUGUAAUCAACUGUUUCCUGGCCCCCAAAUUUCAGGCCUAGUGCCUUUAGUAGAAAAGAUUA